rnacentral:rRNA from 1 species
CAGCCGCCGCGGUAAUACGAAGGGGGCUAGCGUUGCUCGGAAUCACUGGGCGUAAAGGGUGCGUAGGCGGUUUGGCAAGUCUUGUGUGAAAUCUAUGGGCUCAACCCAUAGCCUGCACGAGAAACUACCGGGCUUGAGUGAUGGAGAGGUGAGUGGAAUUUCCGGUGUAGCGGUGAAAUGCGUAGAUAUCGGAAGGAACACCUGUGGCGAAAGCGGCUCACUGGACAUUAACUGACGCUGAUGCACGAAAGCUAGGGGAGCAAACAGGAUUAGAGACCCCCGUAGUCCCUGUCUCUUAUAC